rnacentral:rRNA from 1 species
AAAACUUAACACUUUGACGGUAAUUCCAAUAUAAAGGAACCUGUAGUUUAAUCGAGAUUACACGAUCAAUCUUACUUAUAUUUUUAUAUGUAUACCUCCGUUUAGAUUCUUUCUAUAAAUACUAAAAUUUUCAUAAAAAUUUAAGUUAUUAUAUCAGGUCAAGGUGCAGUAUAUAUAAGUCAUUAUGUGUUACAAUAAAUAAAUAAUUAAAUGGAUUUAAUUUGAAAUAAUUAAUAAAAGUGGAUUUAUAAGUAAAAUUAAAAAUUAAAUAAAUUUGAAAUCUAAUUAAUUAUGUACACAU